CAACCUGCCCUCAGAUGGGGAAUAACUACGGGAAGCCGUAGCUAAUACCGCAUGACGCCUCGGAAUCGCAUGAUUCUGAGAUCAAAGCCUUGGCGUCUGAGGAUGGGCCUGCGUUGGAUUAGGUAGUUGGUAAGGUAACGGCUUACCAAGCCUUCGAUCCAUAGCUGGUCUGAGAGGAUGAUCAGCCACACUGGCACUGAGACACGGGCCAG
rnacentral:rRNA from 1 species